AGUGGCGGACGGGUGAGUAACGCGUAAGAAUCUAACUUCAGGACGGGGACAACAGUGGGAAACGACUGCUAAUACCCGAUGUGCCGCGAGGUGAAACCUAAUUGGCCUGAAGAAGAGCUUGCGUCUGAUUAGCUAGUUGGUGGGGUAAGAGCCUACCAAGGCGACGAUCAGUAGCUGGUCUGAGAGGAUGAGCAGCCACACUGGGACUGAGACACGGCCCAGACUCCUACGGGAGGCAGCAGUGGGGAAUUUUCCGCAAUGGGCGAAAGCCUGACGGAGCAACGCCGCGUGAGGGAGGAAGGUCUUUGGAUUGUAAACCUCUUUUCUCAAGGAAGAAGUUCUGACGGUACUUGAGGAACCAGCCUCGGCUAACUCCGUGCCAGCAGCCGCGGUAAUACGGGGGAGGCAAGCGUUAUCCGGAAUUAUUGGGCGUAAAGCGUCCGCAGGUGGUCAGCCAAGUCUGCCGUCAAAUCAGGUUGCUUAACGACCUAAAGGCGGUGGAAACUGGCAGACUAGAGAGCAGUAGGGGUAGCAGGAAUUCCCAGUGUAGCGGUGAAAUGCGUAGAGAUUGGGAAGAACAUCGGUGGCGAAAGCGUGCUACUGGGCUGUAUCUGACACUCAGGGACGAAAGCUAGGGGAGCGAAAGGGAUUAGAUACCCCUGUAGUCCUAGCCGUAAACGAUGGAUACUAGGCGUGGCUU
rnacentral:rRNA from 1 species